AUGGACAAGUAUAGGAAUCGUUUGCAAUACUCAAUCGUACUAGCGAUGCUUCUUCUCAUACUGUUUGCUACCCGUGCGCAAUGCAGAAUCUUGGAAGACGUCGAAAACGUUAAGAUCAAGUUAGAUGGUCUGUGCGCCCGCGAUCCAAACUGCAAAAACUCUUCGUUGUGUUUCUGUUGUUUUGCAAACCAUCUUUGUUAUCCUUCUUUGGAUGAUUGCAUGGUCGGCUGCCGAAAUGCUUCUCCGUUAGACCCGGCGGCAGCGAUGAUACGUUCUCCAUCACCCUCCUAUCUAAUCUAG
rnacentral:rRNA from 1 species